rnacentral:rRNA from 1 species
UACGUAGGUGGCAAGCGUUAUCCGGAAUUACUGGGCGUAAAGCGCACGCAGGCGGUCUUGUAAGUUUGACGUGAAAGCUCCCGGCUUAACUGGGAGAGGUCGUUGAAGACUGCAAGACUUGAGGAAAUGAGAGGGGUGUAGAAUUCCCGGUGUAGUGGUGGAAUGCGUAGAUAUCGGGGGGAAUACCAGUGGCGAAGGCGGGUCUCUGGGCCGAUAUUGACGCUGAGGAGCGAAAGCGUGGGGAGCAAACAGG